AUUGAACGCUGGCGGCAGGCCUAACACAUGCAAGUCGAACGAGUAGCGGACGGGUGAGUAAUGUCUGGGAAACUGCCUGAUGGAGGGAGAUGACUGCUAGAAACGGUAGCUAAUACCGCAUACCAUCGGAUGUGCCCAGAUGGGAUUAGCUAGUAGGUGGGGUAACGGCGCACCUAGGCGACGAUCCCUAGCUGGUCUGAGAGGAUGAUCGGCCACACUGGAACUGAGACACGGUCCAGACUCCUACGGGAGGCAGCAGUGGGGAAUAUUGCACAAUGGGCGCAAGCCUGACGCGGCCAUGCCGCGUGUAUGAAGAAGGCCUUCGGGUUGUAAAGUACUUUCAGCGGGGAGGCGGUACCCGCAGAAGAAGCAACGGCUAACUCCGUGCCAGCCGCCGCGGUAAUUC
rnacentral:rRNA from 1 species